rnacentral:rRNA from 1 species
AUUGAACGCUGGCGGCAGGCCUAACACAUGCAAGUCGAACGAGUGGCGGACGGGUGAGUAAUGUCUGGGAAACUGCCUGAUGGAGGGGGAUAACUACUGGAAACGGUAGCUAAUACCGCAUACCAUCAGAUGUGCCCAGAUGGGCUUAGCUUGUUGGUGGGGUAACGGCUCACCAAGGCGACGAUCCCUAGCUGGUCGGAGAGGAUGACCGGCCACUCUGAAACUGACACAGGUCCCAGACUCCACCGUGAGGGAGUAUGGGGGAAGAUUGAACAAUGGGCGCAAGCCGGAUUCAGCCAGGCCGCGUGUAUGAAGAAUGCCUUCGGUUUGUAAGGACGUUCAGCGGGGAGGCGUUACCCGCAGAAGAAGCACCGGCUAACUCCGUGCCAGCAGCCGCGGUAAUAC